CACCAAGAAGGGGAAGGGGAAAAGGGGGGAAAAAAGGGGGCUCUUUCCCACUAAAUUCAAGCUGUCUGCAGCUGGCUGUGGCCAGGAUUUCCCCUCUUUUGUCAACAGACCAUGCCACUGCUAACACAGGAGGGGAGGAAAGAAAGGGCUACCUCCUCCCCGAAAGGUUCUUCUGCAGUGAUAACUGUACUAUUGGCUACAGACUCUGAAAGCAGAUGUGUCCUCAACAUAACAAGGAAUAUGAAAAUGGAGGGAAAGAAGAUACUGUAAGCAUAGCAAAAGUCUGACAAAAUGACAGCAGCCUUGCCUCUUGCAAAAGAUCACGGAUUAAUUUUUCCUCCAUAGUUCAAAAAGAACAGAGGCAGAUGGAGUCCAAGAUCAUUUUCCCUUUAGACCUAGAGUGCCAGAUGUGUAAAACCGGAUAAACAAUAAAUUUAUUCCUACAAAUAA